rnacentral:rRNA from 1 species
UGUGAAAGACCUUCGGCUCAACCGAAGAAGUGCAUCGGAAACUAGGGAAACUUAGAGUGCAGAAGAGGACAGUGGAACUCCAUGUGUAGCGGUGAAAUGCGUAGAUAUAUGGAAGAACACCAGUGGCGAAGGCGGCUGUCUGGUCUGUAACUGACGCUGAGGCUCGAAAGUAUGGGUAGCAAACAGGAUUAGAUACCCUGGUAG